ACGUUUGACGCGCAGGUGAACUUAGGUUGACCCUAUUUCUCAGCGAUUCAAUAUACGAAGCUAGUUGCUGUGACGUCGGAUAUUUUACUGACGGAAUAACAUGAACGUCAUCAACAAUAAAUGCGCACUAAAAAGCACUCAUCGAUUUGGUUGUUAACACUUUUAUAGAAAAUUAAACGGGAACUUUGUUGAAUAUAUUAAAAUAUGAAAUAGUGACUCGGUGCUGGUUUGGCAACACGCUAUAUAGACGACUUGUAACCGAAGUGUUUUCCUUGGAGGUUUCUCAAAUUCUGUUGUUGUUUUUUCAUCAGGAUCUUCACAGCAUGCAUGUGAUUGCAAUUUCAGAACCAUUUAGCAGCUUCCUUAUGAUCAAACAAGAUACACAUCACCAAGGAACAGACGCAAUGACAAUCUAUAAUAACUGUUGAGUGAAUUCAACAUUAAUUGAAGUAGAAAUUGUUUAGGAAAACAUUUUUUUAAAAAAUUAAAUACAGUGUGAAUUGAUCCCUUA